UACGUAGGGUGCAAGCGUUGUCCGGAAUUAUUGGGCGUAAAGAGCUCGUAGGCGGUUUGUCGCGUCUGCUGUGAAAAUCCAGGGCUUAACCCUGGACCUGCAGUGGGUACGGGCAGACUAGGGUGCGGUAGGGGAGAUCGGAAUUCCUGGUGUAGCGGUGAAAUGCGCAGAUAUCAGGAGGAACACCGGUGGCGAAGGCGGUUCUCUGGGCCUGUACUGACGCUGAGGAACGAAAGCGUGGGGAGCGAACAGG
rnacentral:rRNA from 1 species